UACAGAGGUCCCAAGCGUUGUUCGGAUUCACUGGGCGUAAAGGGUGCGUAGGUGGCCAGGUAAGUUUGGUGUGAAAGCUCGGAGCUUAACUCCGAAAAGUCAUUGAAUACUAUCUGGCUGGAGGGUCGGAGGGGAGACUGGAAUUCUCGGUGUAGCAGUGAAAUGCGUAGAUAUCGAGAGGAACACCAGUGGCGAAGGCGAGUCUCUGGACAUUUCCUGACGCUGAGGCACGAAAGCCAGGGGAGCAAACGGG
rnacentral:rRNA from 1 species